rnacentral:ncRNA from 2 species
AAGCGUUCUCAGGGCGGGGCGAAAUUCCCCACCGGCGGUGAUGGCGGCUUGUAACCACAAGACCGCACGAGUGCCGCGAGCGCCCGCAUGGUGCAAAGCCGAGCGGGGUCAGCAGACCCGGUGAGAUCCCGGGACCGACGGUCAGAGUCCGGAUGAUAGAGAGCGCGA